AUAACCAAUAGACGAAAAAUAUUUGCACCCACUUGCACACCCUUUCCCAUCACGCGGGCCCAUUUUUAUUUUAUGUUAUUUUAUUUUUUAUUCUAACUUCCGUGGCGAGAGGGAGAGGGGAGCAAGAGCGCAAAGCCGGCGGUGGUUGGAUAGAAUCUGAGAAUAAAAUCCCGCGGUUACGAUCACCACCGAGAUUCGCUCCUCCGUCUCCGCCUCUUCCUCCUCCUCCUCGGCCGUCGGAGGGAAAGGAAGGCAAGGUUAGCGCUAGCAUUAGGGUUUCUUGAGGGAGGGGACGAAUGGGGACGUUCCAGAGCUGGCGGCAGGCCUAUGGGGCGCUCAAGGACACCACCAAGGUCGGCCUCGCCAAGGUCAACAGCGAAUUUAAGGAGCUUGACAUCGCCGUCGUCAAGGCCACGAACCACGUGGAAUGCCCGCCGAAGGAACGGCACGUUAGAAAAAUAUUUGUUGCUACGGCUGUAGAUAGGCCACGGACUGAUGUGGCUUAUUGUGUGCAUAUACUCGCUCGGAGAUUGGCCAAGACCCGUAACUGGGUGGUUGCCUUGAAAACAUUGAUAGUUAUCCACAGGGCAUUGAGAGAGGGCGAUCCUACAUUCAGAGAGGAGCUAUUGAACUAUUCCCGCAGAGGAAAUGUUCUGCGGAUAUCUAAUUUCAGGGAUGAUUCCAGUUCUCUUGCUUGGGAUUGCUCAGCAUGGGUUCGAACAUAUGCACUAUUCCUAGAAGAGAGGCUCGAGUGUUUUAGGAUUUUAAAAUAUGAUAUUGAAGCUGAACGUUUGAGGAAAUUUUCAGAUGGGGAUGCAAAGGGGCAAAGCAGAACAGGGAAAUUAGGUUGUCAGGAUCUUUUAGAUCAAUUACCUGCUUUACAAAAUCUGCUCUACUGCCUAGUUGGCUGCCAGCCUGAAAGAGCAGCAUUCGGCAACUAUCUUAUACAGUAUGCAUUAGCUUUGGUUUUGAAAGAGAGCUUCAAAAUCUAUUGUGCAAUCAAUGAUGGGAUUAUCAAUCUUGUGGAUUUGUUUUUUGAGAUGUCAAGACAUGAUGCCAUCAAAGCACUCGACAUCUAUAAAAGAGCUGGGCAACUGGCUGAAAAUCUUGCUAGUUUCUAUAAGUUUUGCAAAGGUUUGGAGCUUGCCAGGAACUUUCAGUUUCCAAUGUUGAGAGAGCCACCACCAUCAUUUCUUGCAACGAUGGAAGAGUACAUUAGGGAAGCUCCUCGUGCUGGUUCUGUUUCAAAUAAGACUCUGGAAUACGAAGAGAGGAAAUUAAUAACCAACAAGGAAGAAGAAUCUUCCCCUUCAGAGAGUCAAAAAUCUGCUGUAGAAGAUGAGAAAGAAUCACCAACUGAGACUGAAGAAAAAUCACAGCCUAUCAUGGAGGUAGCAGCUCAACCGGCAACAACUGUUGAUUUAUUGGGUUUGGAUGAAACAAAUCAUGGUCCUGCUGAACUUGAGGAAAGCAAUGCAUUGGCUCUUGCUAUCAUUCCACAAGGGGAUGAUUCCAAACCCUCAAAUACUGGUGGCUUGGUUGGGGUUGGAAUUGAUUCUUCAGGAUGGGAGUUAGCACUAGUCACAACACCCAGCAGUAACAGUAACCAAUUGACUGAAAACAAACUGGCUGGUGGAUUCGACAAGCUUUUGCUUGACAGCUUGUAUGAUGAUGCAGCCAGGUGGCAACAGAACACAGGAGCAUAUAAUGGGUUUGCUCCCAAUCCUUUUGACUCGCAGGACCCUUUUGCUAUGUCCCACAAUUUUGCAGCACCACCCAACGUCCAGAUGGCUUUAAUAGCCCAUCAGCAGCAGCACCAGCAUCAGCAGCAGCAAAACUUGAUGAUGAUGCCGGACAACUAUCAACCUCAUUAUCUUCAUUCCCAGGCUGCAUCUACCAAUCCUUUUGCUGAUCCUUUGGUUGGCUUCACUCAGCCUGCUUCUCUACAUGGCAAUUCUGGUUUGAUUUGAUAAUUCAUCGAUUCUUUUUUCUGAGGCAAUGCAUUCUUUUGUUCAUUAUACGUACAAUCAUACAUGUUCUUUCAUUCUUCUUAGUAGAUAAAAUGAGGGGAAAGAGGACUAGUUUCUUGUAAAGUGUGAGAUGUUACCUUUCCUAUUGGAUUUGUAUUUCUGGGGUAUGAUUUUUUUUCUGAAUUUGGAAAUGCUGGUGAUUGAUCCUGGAGGCUUGAUGUAUUUAUUGUUUUCUAAAUAUAGUGUCCUGCUGCUUGAUCUAUGCGUGCAAAAUACUGCUCUAGCCUUGUAUUUUUCACUGUUCAAAUUCUUAGACGUUGUUGUCACCAAAUUUGUUUCUUACAAUUUUAUUAAAAAAUAUAUAUAUACUGUUUUAUCAAGCAUUUCCUAAUAUAUAUUUUCUGAAAGCCUGAGUCCAGGACUAACCUCCCUAAACACGGUGAUCAUUUGCAUAAGAAAUUGUAAUUAAGUGGUUAUUUUAUAAUGGAGGUGCAGAUGGUGAUUAUCAGUAAUUUACAACCCGGGCUAAGUUAUCAACAGGGUACUGGGUUCUUCAUGUGCAGCAACGAAUAUAUAGCUUUUGAGCUGAUGGAUAUCAUGAGGAAGAAUUUGGACCCCCCUGAGCAUUAAUGAACCGAAGCAAGACUUUUCUGGGCUCAAAAGGAAGGAAGGGGAAGAGGGGGCAAAAAAGAUGGCGCUAUAAAGCCAAAUGAUGCAUGGUGCAUCCUGGAUCCUCGUCUCUAAACCGUAUAUAUCUUGUGCCCCUCUCUCUCUCUCUCUGCUGUAAAAGUAAAACAUAGCGUUUGAGCGCCGUGAUGUUCGAAAGAUCAAGAUGGCGACGGCAGACUUACUGGAAGCUUCGUACACGAUUCCGCACUUCCCAGACGACGCCGUAGUACUUGCUAGUACCGCUCUUCUAUAAAUAUACAUGCCUCUCUCUCUCCCCCCCUUCUUUAUAUGUGUUUUUUUUUUUGUUUUUCUUUGUUCCCUGAUCUCUCACCCCCCGUCUCUCCUCUGUUACUCUCAUUCACCAUCUUCUUCGAUGGCUCGAAUCCUCUCGCGAACCCUAAUCCGAGGUCCCCAAAACCUAAUCCGAAAUCAUCCUUCCCACCUCCCCUCCACCGCCUGCCUGGUCAACUGCCCGGGAGAGGGCGCGGCUCGUGGAGGUGGACCUCGAGUCCGAGUCUUCGCGGCCACGAGGACGCCGUCCACUGCGUCAUCAUCCGUCGGUCCGCCUCCGACUGGCUUCCUUUCAUGACGAACAGAGGGUGGCCAUGGUCGUCCUACUUCGUGGUCGUGGAAGAUUAUGCACUGAGAUGAGGGCAGCGUGAUGUCAAAUUGUCAAUACACGAUAAAGUUCUCUAAUCAGUUAUGAUUUUGGGAUCAUAGAGCAUUGACUACAGGUAUCGCCCCGCACUGGAUGAAAAAGGUCCCAAAGAAGGCCACAGCAGAGUCUGCUGAUGAAGAAUGACGUUCUAUACCCAACAAAGUCUAAAUUGGGGAAAGAAAAACUGCCAUAUGUUACGGUGCCGCUAUAUACCAUGCCUCUUGCAAACUUUUAUCAGUCUUGCUUGCGCAAUACUUAGCAUGCUCACCAGUGCGUUCAUGGUUACCUUGGUAUGUUUGCAAACAAUGGGUUUCACAAAAUAAGAUUUUCGAGGCUUGUUGGAUGUAUUGUAGAAGCGCCCCACCAACUGAUUGUCUGCAGCUGGGAAUGACGGACUUUUUACUGUUAUGAAUUGUGCGGCAGCUGAAAUAACACGGGUGUGGGAAAAAUCAAGCGCACGUAUACUUUUUGAGAUAGAACAAAAUAUGCCCAACCAGCAUAUCUGGAAAGCAAUACCAGUCUAGGGAUUGGUCUCCUGAAGUAUGUCAUACACCACUGCUGUAGCUUAAUGCACCAGUCUCAUCAGAUGCCCCCUAUGUUACAUAUUUGCAUAUUGAUACGUAAAACAAGCUGCAGUCUGAAACAUUUUGUCCUGGGUAUGCAUGCUUUAUAGCAGCGGGGAUGCGAGAUGUAGGGUAUUAGCUUCCAUUUGAAUGACCAUCAUAGCUUCACAGUUUGUAACCUGCCA